rnacentral:rRNA from 1 species
GCUCAGGAUGAACGCUGGCGGCGUGCCUAAUACAUGCAAGUCGAACGAGUUCUGAUUAUUGAAAGGUGCUUGCAUCUUGAUUUUAAUUUUGAACGAGUGGCGGACGGGUGAGUAACACGUGGGUAACCUGCCCUUAAGUGGGGGAUAACAUUUGGAAACAGAUGCUAAUACCGCAUAAAUCCAAGAACCGCAUGGUUCUUGGCUGAAAGAUGGCGUAAGCUAUCGCUUUUGGAUGGACCCGCGGCGUAUUAGCUAGUUGGUGAGGUAACGGCUCACCAAGGCAAUGAUACGUAGCCGAACUGAGAGGUUGAUCAGCCACAUUGGGACUGAGACACGGCCCAAACUCCUACGGGAGGCAGCAGUAGGGAAUCUUCCACAAUGGACGCAAGUCUGAUGGAGCAACGCCGCGUGAGUGAAGAAGGCUUUCGGGUCGUAAAACUCUGUUGUUGGAGAAGAAUGGUCGGCAGAGUAACUGUUGUCGGCGUGACGGUAUCCAACCAGAAAGCCACGGCUAACUACGUGCCAGCAGCCGCGGUAAUACGUAGGUGGCAAGCGUUAUCCGGAUUUAUUGGGCGUAAAGCGAGCGCAGGCGGUUUUUUAAGUCUGAUGUGAAAGCCCUCGGCUUAACCGAGGAAGUGCAUCGGACACUGGGAAACUUGAGUGCAGAAGAGGACAGUGGAACUCCAUGUGUAGCGGUGAAAUGCGUAGAUAUAUGGAAGAACACCAGUGGCGAAGGCGGCUGUCUGGUCUGUAACUGACGCUGAGGCUCGAAAGCAUGGGUAGCGAACAGGAUUAGAUACCCUGGUAGUCCAUGCCGUAAACGAUGAAUGCUAGGUGUUGGAGGGUUUCCGCCCUUCAGUGCCGCAGCUAACGCAUUAAGCAUUCCGCCUGGGGAGUACGACCGCAAGGUUGAAACUCAAAGGAAUUGACGGGGGCCCGCACAAGCGGUGGAGCAUGUGGUUUAAUUCGAAGCAACGCGAAGAACCUUACCAGGUCUUGACAUCUUUUGAUCACCUGAGAGAUCAGGUUUCCCCUUCGGGGGCAAAAUGACAGGUGGUGCAUGGUUGUCGUCAGCUCGUGUCGUGAGAUGUUGGGUUAAGUCCCGCAACGAGCGCAACCCUUAUGACUAGUUGCCAGCAUUUAGUUGGGCACUCUAGUAAGACUGCCGGUGACAAACCGGAGGAAGGUGGGGAUGACGUCAAAUCAUCAUGCCCCUUAUGACCUGGGCUACACACGUGCUACAAUGGAUGGUACAACGAGUUGCGAGACCGCGAGGUCAAGCUAAUCUCUUAAAGCCAUUCUCAGUUCGGACUGUAGGCUGCAACUCGCCUACACGAAGUCGGAAUCGCUAGUAAUCGCGGAUCAGCACGCCGCGGUGAAUACGUUCCCGGGCCUUGUACACACCGCCCGUCACACCAUGAGAGUUUGUAACACCCGAAGCCGGUGACGUAACCCUUUUAGGGAGCGAGCCGUCUAAGGUGG